rnacentral:rRNA from 1 species
UACGAAGGGGGCUAGCGUUGCUCGGAAUCACUGGGCGUAAAGCGCACGUAGGCGGAUUGUUAAGUCGGGGGUGAAAUCCUGGAGCUCAACUCCAGAACUGCCUUCGAUACUGACGAUCUCGAGUCCGGGAGAGGUGAGUGGAACUCCGAGUGUAGAGGUGAAAUUCGUAGAUAUUCGGAAGAACACCAGUGGCGAAGGCGGCUCACUGGCCCGGUACUGACGCUGAGGUGCGAAAGCGUGGGGGAGCGAACAGG